rnacentral:rRNA from 1 species
UACGUAGGGGGCAAGCGUUGUCCGGAAUCAUUGGGCGUAAAGAGCGUGUAGGCGGCCUGGUAAGUCCGCUGUGAAAGUCCAGGGCUCAACCCUGGAAUGCCGGUGGAAACUGUCAGGCUCGAGUCCGGAAGAGGCGAGUGGAAUUCCUGGUGUAGCGGUGAAAUGCGCAGAGUAUCGGGAGGAACACCGGUGGCGAAGGCGGUUCUCUGGGCCUUACCUGACGCUGAGGAGCGAAAGCGUGGGGAGCAAACAGG